CUCCUGUCACAAAUCAACAAUCCCUAACUUUCACGGAUUUCUUCACCAUUGUUUAUCAUCAACUUCAAAAUUUUAUCCGUCAUCUCAUCUCCAAAUCCAGGUUGCUUCAAAAUCAUCACCACCACUGCCUAAACCACUCUAUGUUUUUCUCUCUCAACCUCUCAUCACCAAAAAUCCUCAUCAUAGUGUUUAUUGCAAAAAAAUAAUCCUUAAUUUUACUCAGAUUUCAUCAUCAUCAUCAUCAUCAUAAUCGCCGUGUUCAUCUCCAAAUCCAAAAUCAUUCAUACCAUGAAAAAAGACUCUGGUGAUGAGGUUUUAAGAGAGAGAAACUGAGAGUGGUAGGUGCCGUGCAUCACUCACGACGUUCACAACUUUAACUAGCUAUUUCACCAUUCAUCAUCAUAACUUAAAUCCUAAAUUCAUGCAUCCAUAUACCCAAUUUUUGCAAAACAAAAACCACCCCAUAGGAUGGCAGUGUUACGGAACCAAAAAAACAUGGUCUUUAUGUGUUUUCUUCCAUUUCUCACACAAGCAAUUAUUUUGAAAUCAACAACAAAUUUCACAAUUCUGGAUCCAACAGAUUUAAUUUCGAAGCUAUUCCUUUUUCUUACACAAAUCGAACCCACUUUAUUUUUCCACUGAAAUUGUGAUGAGGAUUUUUGGUGAUGAGAGGUUGAGAGAGAAAAACAUAG
rnacentral:lncRNA from 1 species